rnacentral:rRNA from 1 species
GAUGAACGCUGGCGGCGUGCCUAAUACAUGCAAGUCGAACGGAGAGAGUAGCAAUACUGUCUUAGUGGCGAACGGGUGAGUAACGCGUUGGUGACCUGCCCCGAAGAGAGGGAUAACAGUUCGAAAGGACUGCUAAUACCCCAUGAUAUCUGCCUAGUUAGAGAGGGCAGAUGAAAGGAGCAAUCCGCUUUGGGAGGGGCCUGCGUCCCAUCAGCUAGUUGGUAAGGUAACGGCCUACCAAGGCUUCGACGGGUAGGGGACCUGAGAGGGUGGCCCCCCACAAUGGAACUGAAACACGGUCCAUACACCUA